GCCUUCGUGGUGUAAUGGUCAGCACGCUCGUCGCGUAACCAAGAGGUCCGUAGUUCGAUUCCCAGCGAAGGCG
rnacentral:tRNA from 1 species